rfam:Nomascus leucogenys chromosome 16, whole genome shotgun sequence.
GCUGGGCAUGGUGGCGUGUGCCUGUAAUCCCAGCUACUCGGGAGGCUGAGGCAGGAGAAUGGCUUGAACCAGGGAUUCAGAGGUUGCAGUGAGCCAAGAUCGCACCACUGCACUCCAGCCUGGGUGACAGAGUAAGACUCUGCCUCAA